rnacentral:rRNA from 1 species
GACGAACGCUGGCGGCGUGCCUAAUACAUGCAAGUCGAACGAAGCUGUUUUAACUGGUGCUUGCACCGACUUAAACAACUGAGUGCCGAACGGGUGAGUAACACGUGGGUAACCUGCCCCAAAGCGGGGGAUAACAUUUGGAAACAGAUGCUAAUACCGCAUAACCACAGAAACCACAUGGUUUCUGUGUCAAAGAUGGUUUCGGCUAUCACUUUGGGAUGGACCCGCGGCGUAUUAGCUAGUUGGUAAGGUAAUGGCUUACCAAGGCAAUGAUACGUAGCCGAACUGAGAGGUUGAUCGGCCACAUUGGGACUGAGACACGGCCCAAACUCCUACGGGAGGCAGCAGUAGGGAAUCUUCCACAAUGGACGAAAGUCUGAUGGAGCAACGCCGCGUGAGUGAAGAAGGUUUUCGGAUCGUAAAACUCAGUUGUCAGAGAAGAACGUGUGCGAGAGUAACUGCUCGUGCAGUGACGGUAUCUGGCCAGAAAGCCACGGCUAACUACGUGCCAGCCGCCGCGGUAA